GGUUAAUAAUUUAUUUAUUUAUUUUGUUUUUUUGUUUUGAUAAAAAUAUUUUAUUUUUUAGUAUUUUGAAUUAAUAUUUUUUGAUUAUAGUUAAUUUUACUGUUAAGGUUUAUUGUUUGUUUCAAUUUUAAGUAGUUUUUGUUUAAUGUACCUUUUGCAUCUGGGUUUAUUAAAAUAUUAAAAUUAUUAUUUGUUUUCCCGAAAUUUUAAGAUUUAAGGUUAUAUGUAAGUUUUUGUUACAAGAAAAUUUGUAAUUUUUCCUUAGAGGUUACAUGCUUUUCAUUUAAAUUGAUAUCUGGUUUAUUAAUAUAUGAAUUUAAUUCAUUCUUAAUAAUGCUUUAUUUUAAUUUUAUUAAUUAAAGUAUUUUAAGGAAAGAAAUAUAGAGAUAAGCUUAUAUUUUUUGUUAAAAAUGUUUUUUGACAAUUUUUUGUAGGAUUAAGAAUUUCCAUCUUUAUUUUGUUAUAAUUAUGUUUUGUUGGUUUUGAUUUUUGUUUUUUUAAUUUUUUAUUAAUAUUUUUUUUUUAAUUUUAUUUGAUAAAUAAUUAUAAUAUAAUUAGUAAUUUUUAUAAUUUGAAUAUAGUAAUUCGGCAAAUUUUAUUUUCACCUGUUUAACAAAAACAUGUUCUUUUGUUUUUAAUUUAAGAUCGGGCCUGCCCAUUGAUUUUUGGAAUUAAAAGGCUGCGGUAUUUUAACUGUACGAAGGUAGCAUAAUCAUUUGUCUUUUAAUUGGAGGCUAGAAUGAAUGGUUUGAUGAAAAAUAUACUUUCUUUAUUUAAUUAUUUUGAAUUUAAUUUUUUAGUUAAAAAGCUAAAAUUUUUUUAUAGGACGAGAAGACCCUAUAGAAGUUAACUUUAUUUAUAAAUUUAUAUUUUUUGUUUUUUAAAUUUAUUUUUAGAAUGUGAAGUUUUGUUGGGGUGAUAUUAAAAUUUAUUUAACUUUUAAUUUUUAUUUCAUUAAUUUAUGUUAUUUUUGAUCCGGAAUUUUUGAUUAUAAGAAUAACUUACCUUAGGGAUAACAGCGUAAUUUUUUCGGAGAGUUCUUAUCGAUGAAUAAGUUUGCGACCUCGAUGUUGAAUUAAGAUUAGAUUUGGGGGUAAAAUUUCAUUUUUCUUGGUCUGUUCGACCAUUAAAUUCUUACAUGAUUUGAGUUCAGACCGGCGUGAGCCAGGUCGGUUUCUAUCCUUAUUUUAUAUAAGUUAGUACGAAAGGACCAUUUAUAUUAAUUAAAUUAUAAUUUUUGAUUAAAGUUA
rnacentral:rRNA from 1 species